rnacentral:rRNA from 1 species
ACGCCGUAAACGAUGUCGAUUUGGAGGUUGUGCCCUUGAGGCGUGGCUUCCGGAGCUAACGCGUUAAAUCGACCGCCUGGGGAGUACGGCCGCAAGGUUAAAACUCAAAUGAAUUGACGGGGGCCCGCACAAGCGGUGGAGCAUGUGGUUUAAUUCGAUGCAACGCGAAGAACCUUACCUGGUCUUGACAUCCACAGAACUUUCCAGAGAUGGAUUGGUGCCUUCGGGAACUGUGAGACAGGUGCUGCAUGGCUGUCGUCAGCUCGUGUUGUGAAAUGUUGGGUUAAGUCCCGCAACGAGCGCAACCCUUAUCCUUUGUUGCCAGCGGUUAGGCCGGGAACUCAAAGGAGACUGCCAGUGAUAAACUGGAGGAAGGUGGGGAUGACGUCAAGUCAUCAUGGCCCUUACGACCAGGGCUACACACGUGCUACAAUGGCAUAUACAAAGAGAAGCGACCUCGCGAGAGCAAGCGGACCUCAUAAAGUAUGUCGUAGUCCGGAUUGGAGUCUGCAACUCGACUCCAUGAAGUCGGAAUCGCUAGUAAUCGUAGAUCAGAAUGCUACGGUGAAUACGUUCCCGGGCCUUGUACACACCGCCCGUCACACCAUGGGAGUGGGUUGCAAAAGAAGUAGGUAGCUUAACCUUCGGGAGGGCGCUUACCACUUUGUGAUUCAUGACUGGGGUGAAGUCGUAACAAGGUAACCGUAGGGGAACCUGCGGUUG